GUCUACAGCCACACCACCCUGAACACACCCGAUCUUGUCUGAUCUUGGAAGCUAAGCAGGGUCAGGCCUGGUUAAUACUUGGAUGGGAGACCACAUGAGAAUACCGGGUGCUAUAGCUU
rnacentral:rRNA from 1 species